GACGAACGCUGGCGGCGUGCCUAAUACAUGCAAGUCGAACGCAGUGGGGACGGGUGAGUAACACGUGGGUAACCUCCCAUCAGAGGGGAUAACACUUGGGAACAGGUGCUAAACCGAUACUGAUGGAUGGACCCGCUGUGCAUUAGCUAGUGGGUGAGGUAACGGCUCACCAAGGCCACGAUGCAUAGCGGGCCUGAGAGGGGGAUCGGCAACACGGGGACUGAGAAACGGCCAAGACUCCUACGGGAGGCAGCAGUGGGGAACCUUCGGCAAGGGACGAAAGUCUGACAGAGCAACGCCGCGUAAGUGAAGAAGGUUUUCGGAUGGUAAAACUCUUUUGUUAGAGAAGCGGUAUCUAACCAGAAAGCCACGGCUAACUACGUGCCAGCAGCCGCGGUAAUAC
rnacentral:rRNA from 1 species